rnacentral:lncRNA from 1 species
AAGUAGCUGGGAUUACAGAUGUGUGCCACUAUGCCAGGUUAAUUUUUGUGUUUUUAGUAGAGACUGGGUUUCACCAUAUUGGCCAGGCUGGUCUCGAACUCCCCUGGUUUCAUUCUUCCAAAACAGGUUUUUGCUUUGGAGUAUAAAAUGACAAGGGAAAUGCAUGUAGCCAAGAUCCUUAUUUGAGCUCAUUCACACUGGUCUAGACCCGUCCAGUGAGCUGGGGGCAGGUCUUGAAGGUGUGAUUUGCAUGAGCUGAUUUGCAUCAGGCCUGUGUAUUGUUAAAUAAAAGAUAAGGAUGGUUAUCUUGGCCUGGAAGAAAGAGAGAAUUGGGAGGGUGUUUUGGUGCUGGGUCUCCACCUUCCUGGCUCUGGUGGAGACAUUGGUGCAGACUGCCAAUUUAAAAUAAUCAAAAAGGUCAGAAUCUAGUUUAAAGAGAGUUUAUUCAAGUGCAAAAGUUAAGGACUGCAGCUGAGAAGACACUUCCAAGUUGCCUUGGGGAGUGCUUCGAAGAACAAAAGAGAGGCUCACAUUUUGUUUUGUUUUGUUUUGUUUCUGUUUUUGUUUUUGAGAUGGAGUCUCGCUCUGUUGCCUAGGCUGGAGUGCAGUGGCGNNNNNNNNNNNNNNNNNNNNNNNNNACCUCCGCCUCCCGGGUUCACGCCAUCCUCCUGCCUCAGCCUCCCUAGUAGCUGGGACUACAGGCACCCGCCACCACACCGGCUAAUUUUUUUUUUUUUUUUUUUGUAUUUUU